AAAUAGUCUAAUAGAUGUUUAGAUCAUGUACAAAAAGUUUCUUAAUGUUUCGGAAACCCUAAACUGGUUUUUAUGAUUUUUUGAUGACUAAGGGUCAAACUGAGUUUUUCUAACAAAAUUGUGGGGCCAUUAUGAGACUGAUAACUUGAUCAAUAUUAGUUAAAAGGAUUUGAAAUUUUUACAAAAUUGAUGUGCCAAACUUUUCUGACUGGCCUUGCAUCAAGUGAGUAAAUAUAGAGUUUUUUUAAGAAUUUUGGCGUAAACCACUAGUACAAAAGUGAGCAAUGGAUGCGAAUAACAAUUGCUAAAAAGUGCGGUUCACCCUUCAAACCGCAUCUUUUGAGCGGUUCUUUGCCCUUUUGAGUGUUUCUUUGGUUUCACGCACACCAUUGGAUGCGGAAGUUGUUGACCCGCAGCUUUUGCCCCCAAUUUCCCCCCACAAAAUUUCACUUCCCUCCGUCUUCAAAAAAAUUUAAACCCUAAAAACCUCUCCUACCCCCACAAGAAUUCAUUUCCCUCCGUCUCCAAAAAAAACUAAACACCAAAAACCAUUCCAUCUCCCAAAAACUUCUUCUCUCCGGUCUCCACCAUCUGCUCCCAAAAAAUUAAAUACCUCGAAGUCAUCCACCAUCCAUCGAAGAUCGGACGUAACAGACAACCGCCUCAAUCUUCCUUCAUCUUGAUGACGGUCUUAAUCGAACAUCACGGUUCUUGAACACAUUUGAAGAGUAUCCAGAUAUUUCGUGUUGAAGAGACCCCGUAGAAGAUGCGAGGGCACAACCAUGGGUGUCUAUCAUUGUCCUGGUCUCGGAAUCAGUCUUUUUUUUUCUCUCGGUAAUCUCUCCUCUUUUUGACCUAGAUUCAUCAUUGGUUUUUGUUGAGUGUUUGGGGAUUUAUGGUUUAAACUUUAAAGAUGACAGAUUUUGCAGGCCUCGUAAGUUGGGAAAUGGAUCAAUAAGGGAUUGGGUUGAAACCUUUUAUUUUGUAGUUGUGUGUAUAGAAGCCAAAAAACCUGGUCAAACUGAUGGAAGUUGGUUGGGUCUGUGGUUUAAUAAGUCUAAUCGUAUAGUCGGUUGGUUUAAAAAAAAUGAAAACUGGUUUACAAAGAAUAUAACACGAAUUGAAAUAAAAUAAUUUUUAUUUGACGUAUAUGCCAGAGUUUGUUCAGUUUCAAGCAUUGUUGAUCUACCUGUGAUUUCUUGACACCUUCCAAAAUCAUAUUCUACAACUUGCUGUAGCUUUGAUAGUCUUUGCUUAGGUGUUUUGGCUAAGCUUUGAUACCCACAUUUUGCAGGAUUUGUAUAUAGGAGAGGCACCUUACCACUAGGUAGGGGUGUUAACAAGGCCAGAGGCUCGAGAGCUACUCGUGAUCGGUUCGGUUAAAAGCUCGAACGAGUCGAGCCUUAACGAGCCCGAGCUCGAGCCUGAAAUACAAAGCUCGUUUAGGCUCGCGAGCCCAAACGAGCCUAAACAAAAUUUUAGUUUUUUAUAUGUAUAAUAUAAUAAUGAUGAUGAUAACAUUGGUGAGCCGAGCUCAAGCCAAGCUUUGGCUCGCUUAAUUGCUGUUGAAACGAGCUCGAGCCGAGCUUUUAGCUCAUUUGAGGUUGUUCUCGAAAUAGCUCGAGUCGAGCCGACCUCGAGCUCAAGCUUCAUAAAAACAUAACGAGCCGAGCUUGGGUUCGGGCUCGGCUCGGCUCGUUUACACCCCUACAACUAGGAUGUCCUUUGGGUAGGUUAUACAGUAAUUUGGUUGGUAUGGUGGGUGAGUUUUAUUGUUAAGGAAAUUGGGAUUAUCUAGUUUAUGGAGGUAUGAGUUCCACCAUUGUUGGACAAGAUCCGGCUCUGAUCAGUUCAUGGAAGCUUACUGUGAGAUACUAUGCUAUUUUCACAAGGAUGGAGUCCCAGUUCAAGGUAAUCUCUUUCUCUAACACAGAUUCUAGUACAUAAUCUACUAUUUCUUCACCUACAUACAUGUGUAUUUAAUUAUGUAUAUGUUAUAUGUUUUAUGCAGUUUAAUAAUAAGCACGAAAUAUGGUGUUUAAAAUCGAGAAAAAAUUGUUUAUUAUUGUUGAAUAUGCAUCAAUGCAACUUAUAUUACAGCUUUGGGAGAUAUGGAUCGGAAGUUUAACAAGUACCCAUAUUAUUUUUCUUGACACGUACAUGGAAAUAACUGUAGAUUAGUUUAAAAAGUAUUGUUGAAACAGUGCAAAUGAUCUGAGUUAGGAUCUAUUUUUCUUUUAUAUGAAUUGAGCUUAAAUUAACGUAACUUUUCUAACCACUUUUGCAAAUUAUUUUCUAAGUUUUGUGAUUACAGUAAUUUCAGGGAUUCAUGCAUGUUAACCUUUAUUGCAAAAGUCAUUGAAAUUUUAGACCAGGGAAGACUUUAGCUUAACUUUUUUUUUUUGUCCAACUUCAAAUACAGUUUAAGUUGAUGUACUUAUUGGUUGGAUCAUGAAAUAGCAAUCUUCAUUGUAACAUGGGUUAGGUAAAGAUCCUAGACUAUAUCUCUAGAUUAUUUAUCUGUUCUCUUUUUAUGUAUUAUGUCUAUAAUGUUGGCUGCUAAAUUGUAAACAUGUGAUAAUCUGUUUUAUGUACUAUAAUCAGUAGACAAUACCCAACAUGGUUUUAAGUGUUUAAUGGGUCCUAAGUUAUAGCUUCUAAGUUAUUUGCCUAUUUUCUCUGUAUUUACAACUUGCAUAUGUUGUACAUAGAUUAAGCACUUCAAUUUUUUGUUAAUUAAGUUUCUUGUUUGUUGACUUUUUUGUAAUAACUCUAUGUGAAAUAAGGUUGUAGUGAGAGAGGUAGGGGUGUAAACAAGCCCAGAGAGCUCGAGAGCCCAGUCGAGCUCGAGCUCGGCCCGGCUCGUUUACACCCCUAGAGAGAGGCGCGGAUAGAAAUGGAUCACCUAAAGAGGAACUUGAUCUUGACAUGAAUAACAUCAAUAUGGUUGAUCAUCAAGCUGAAGAUCGGUACAAUAUGUAUGAGUUUGACAGCGUUGAGUUAAUAUGUUACUUUGAACGGUUAUUAGUGAUCCUUCAUGAGAAAGAACUCACUUGGGUUGGGCGUCUCUUGCAUAAGCAUCAUACUUGUGUAAUUUCUGCACUAAGAGUCAGUACGUCUUUAAAGCAGCAUCCACUCAUAUGGUCUGCCACUGUAAGUUCUUAUAUAUUCAAGCAAAACAUAGCUCUUAUUUUUCAGAUAUAUUUGUUGAUGCUGGAAUAGGGGAGUGAUUCCUAUCAUUUUUCUUUUUCUGUCUCUUUAAUAAGAACAACCUACAAUAUGAGAUCAUUAUUUUUUGGUAUAUUGAACAUGUUGAACGUCUAUUUGAAAGUUUAUAGAUUCGCUCUGAUUACUUCUUAUUACAUGGGCUUUAUCAUUCAAUUAAAGAUUCCAUCUUAUCUUAUACAUAUAUACACUUUUAGACAAUUUUUUAGCUUCAUUUUUAAUAAUUUAACAUUAUGUUUUGUUAGGCAAUUUCGACGGUUCCUGUUGCAAGUAUUAAUUGAAGACAUAGGUUGGGGUUGCAAGUAUCAGUCUCUUAAUGACAUGUUUUUGUAAUGCAGUUCGUGCCGCUAUAGAGUUGGAAUUUGAUUUUCAUAGGGCCAUCUACAACCUCAACAUUGUUUAGGUUAGUUCAACAUUGUUUUGGUUAGUUUAACGAACUUUUUCUUCUCUACGAUUCUAGUUGCAAGUAUGGAUUGAAGACAUUGGUUUGGGUUGAAAGUAUGAAGACAUCGGUCGGUUUAGGAAGUUACUGUAUAUCACUUUCAUCUUUAGAGUUUUAUGUAUUGUUGUGUUACCUGAAACUUUUGUAAUAUUAGGUUACUUUGAAACC